UCCCUGGUGGCUCAGAUGGUAAAGCAUCUGUCUACAAUGCAGGAGACCUGGGUUUGAUCCCUGGGUUGGGAA
rnacentral:tRNA from 1 species